CUCGUAGGUGGCCAACUAAGUCAGACGUGAAAUCCCUCGGCUUAACCGGGGAACUGCGUCUGAUACUGGAUGGCUUGAGGUUGGGAGAGGGAUGCGGAAUUCCAGGUGUAGCGGUGAAAUGCGUAGAUAUCUGGAGGAACACCGGUGGCGAAGGCGGCAUCCUGGACCAAUUCUGACACUGAGGAGCGAAAGCCGAGGGGAGCGAAACG
rnacentral:rRNA from 1 species